AACGAACGCUUGCUGCAUGCUUUAUACAUGCAAGUCGAACGGAGGCCCUAGCUUGCUAGGUGUCCUUAGUGGCGCACGGGUGAGUAACACGUGGGAACAUACCUCAUAGUACGGAAUAACUGCGGGAAACUGUAGCUAAUACCGUAUAUUCCAGUAAUGGGAAAGAUUUAUCGCUAUGAGAUUGGCCCGCGCAAGAUUAGUUUGUUGGUAAGGUAAUGGCUUACCAAGGCUACGAUCUUUAGCUGGUUUGAGAGGAUGAUCAGCCACACUGGGACUGAGACACGGCCCAGACUCCUACGGGAGGCAGCAGUAGGGAAUAUUGGACAAUGGGGGCAACCCUGAUCCAGCAAUGCAGCGUGAGUGACGAAGGCCUUAGGGUUGUAAAACUCUUUCAUCGGUGAGGAUAAUGACAGUAGCCGAAGAAGAAGGACCGGCUAAUUCCGUGCCAGCAGCCGCGGUAAUACGGAAGGUCCUAGCGUUGUUCGGAAUUACUGGGCGUAAAGCGCAUGUAGGCGGAACAGAAAGUUAGAAGUGAAAUCCCUGGGCUCAACCUAGGAAUUGCUUUUAAAACUUCUGUUCUGGAAUUCAGGAGAGGAAAAUGGAAUAUCCAGUGUAGAGGUGAAAUUCGUAGAUAUUGGAUGGAACACCAGUGGCGAAGGCGAUUUUCUGGACUGAUAUUGACGCUGAGAUGCGAAGGCAUGGGUAGCAAACGGGAUUAGAUACCCCGGUAGUCCAUGCAGUAAACGAUGGGUGCUAGUCGUCGGACUUAUGUUCGGUGUCGUAGCUAACGCGUUAAGCACCCCGCCUGGGGGAGUACGGUCGCAAGAUUAAAACUCAAAUAAAUUGACGGGGACCCGCACAAGCAGUGGAGCAUGUGGUUUAAUUCGACGCAACGCGAAGAACCUUACCAGCGUUUGACAUGGGAAGUACCGGUUACAGAAUAGUAACCUUCAGUUCGGCUGGC
rnacentral:rRNA from 1 species